rnacentral:lncRNA from 1 species
AGUGCUGGGAUUACAGGCUUGAGCCACCGCGCCCGGCCGGGAAGGCCUUUCUAGAUGAGAUGUUGGGGUAUUUGGGAUUCUAAUUGUUAACCCCAGAAGAAGGUAAUUUAGCUUGUAUUUAUUUAAAACCCAUUUAGCCUUUUAAUUAUAUCAGGUAGAAGUCCAGUGAUCAUCCUAAUAAGGUAUAUUUCAGAAUAAAUUUUUUUUCCUUCAGAAUAACUUAGAAUCAGAUGCUCCUAGGGCUCCUAGGAGCAGUGUGAAAUUUCAGUAAAGAUAAAUUUGAAUGUUGUAACCAAGUUUAUAUUAAAUCAAGAGGCCAUUUCCAAUAUGAUUUUUUGUUUCUUUUUAACUUGUUAAGUCCCUAAGAGAUUACAUGCUAGGGCUUGAGUCAUAUCUGUCAUAGAUAAUGAUGGCCCACACAUUCACUUUGGACUGUCCACAUAAGCUAGGCUUUCCGCUUUUGCCACGGACAAUGUAACCAAGAUAUUUCCAGAGUAAAUAACCCACCACAACCUUGGUAAUUCCUCUUUUCUUCUUUUUUUAUUUUUAUUUUUAUUUUUUUUUGAGACGGAGUCUUGCUCCUGGGGGACAAAGUGGGACCCUAUCUCAAAAAAAAAAAAAAGUCAUCCUUCUGUAACUACUGAUUGACAUGUGGAUCAUCAGUUCAGACCCUCACUGCAUACAGGAUCCCUAGGGGGUUCUAUUUAAUAGCUUGAGAAAGGGAGACUAAAAGGACGUCUGUGAGUGAAAUAGGGUAUAGCUGUUACCACAGUGCCAGGACCUGAGAGCGUUCCAAUUCUUUUUGUAGCAUGGGGAAUCAAAGGUGGCAGACCAAUUUCAACUCAGGGCUGAGGUAUCCACAUUGUCCACAUCAGGCAAGCCCUGCACUGAUGGUUGAGCCUCAUGGAGACGAGCAUAUGUUGGGAAGAGAUCCCUUUGUUACUGUUUUGUGUUGUUCUCUUCAAUGAGUUAGAGCUCAUGCCCCUUUUAUGGCUUUGCUGUUGAUUUUGGAUGGUAGAGAAUAUUCCUGAGAGCCUUCCUUUUGACCCCUAGCUUAUCCCACCCACUCUCUUCUCUUGGUUGAAUUCUCUGAAGGAAAAGUUCAUGUGCUAUUGUCCUUUUAGUCAAUAGUCUUCACAUAUAAUUGUGUUACGUAUAUUGCUAUAGACUCUCAGAAAUCGGGGUAGAGCUUUUCCUUUGAGCAGUUUAAUGAGUGAAUUCAGCAGCAAAGUGGCAAGAAAUGGUUCUCCAGCCAGGAGAGGUUAUGUUUAUCCUCCGAUUGCCCAUUUUCUCUGCACACAAUAAUAUCGUAUUCAGUGAGAGGUGCUGUUGGCACCCAGCAGCGCCCUGGGCACACAGCAUUUCAUGUCAUGUCACAGUGUACAAGCUACCCUCUCUCAUUUAGAAAGAAGAGCAUUUUGCACAGAGAAAAAGUAAAAAGAUCCAUGAAUGUCAUUUUUUAUCUUUUAUUUUCAGUUGGCUGAUGUUGGAAUUUUUGUUCUUGUCAUGAACUUGUAAACCAAUCUUGCCAAGAUACAAGUUGUUUUGGUUUUUCACUACGAUGACCUCUUGUUCCUCCUGUCUUGACUGCUGAUGUUUCCUCAAUGAUUCUAUUGUCUAUUUUAUGGGAAGCAGCCUUCCUAUAGGUUUCCUUUUACACACUGCAGGGCUAUCUUUAUACUUUAAAAAAAAAAAGGACAAGAACUGUCACUAACCUCAUGGGGGGUUUUCGUAAAACCAUUUAGCCCACCUUGAGCAAAGGGUAGAUUCUGUGUUGUUUUUUUAAGCUCAUUGUAAUAAAAUAAAUCUAAUUCAGCAUUAUUGUGCUACCUCAAAGGUAAAAAAUGUUUUAAGGUCUUCUUUUGGUCCUGAGUUCUGCAUACAGUGUUUGAAAUGUCUUUCAAUUGGAAUUAUUUUUUAAAUCAUUGGAGUGAAUUUUAUUUUAAUCUGUUUUAAACUUGUAUUUUAAUCUCAGAAGAAUAAGUGAUUGAAACGUGAUCAAUUCUUGCUCUGUGGUGUUAAACAUAUAAUGAACAGUCAUUAAGAAUUAAGUCACUGUUUGCCAUAAACAAGGUUGAUGUUCUUUUUGUUGUUGUUAAGGAAACCCUAGGGCUUGGCUUUACUCUUGAUUAAUAAAGGCUGACAAAUCAU